rnacentral:misc_RNA from 1 species
UACGGGACGCAGCAGGAAUAUUGACAAUGGGGGCAACCCUGAUCCAGCCAUGCCGCGUGUGAAGAAGGCCCUCGGGUUAAAGCACUUUCAGCGAGGAAGAACGCCUAGCGGUUAAUACCCGCUAGAAAGACAUCACCGCAGAAGAAGCACCGGCUAACUCCUGCGCCAGCAGCCGCGGUAAUACGGAGGGUGCAAGCGUUAAUCGGAAUUACUGGGCGUAAAGGCGCGUAGGUGGCUUGAUAAGCCGGUUGUGAAAGCCCCGGGCUCAACCUGGGAACGGCAUCCGGAACUGUCAAGCUAGAGUGCAGGAGAGAAGGUAGAAUUCCCGGUGUAGCGGUGAAAUGCGUAGAGAUCGGAGUGAAUACCAGUGGCGAAGGCACUGACUGACACACUCUCGACACUGAGGUGCGAAAGCGUGGGUAGCAAACAGGGAUUAGAUACCCGUGUAGUCCCUGAAACAACUUCUCACAAGAUGAGGGGAGCAUCAGGUAGUAACAGAGAGUUCGAUUGGUGGCUCAGAUUGAACGCUGGCGGGAUGCUUUACACAUGCAAGUCGAACGGCAGCACGGACUUCGGUCUGGUGGCGAGUGGCGAACGGGUAUAAUGUAUCGGAACGUGCCUAGUGGGUAACUACGCGAAAGCGUAGUUAAUACCGCAUACGCCCUUCGGGGAAAGCGGGGACCUCGGCCUCGCACUAUUAUAGAGCGGCCGAUAUCGGAUUAGCUAGUUGCGGGGGUAACGGCUCACCAAGGCGACGAUCCGUAGCUGGUUUGAGAGGACGACCAGCCACACUGGGACUGAGACACGGCCCAGACUCCUACGGGAGGCAGCAGUGGGGAAUUUUGGACAAUGGGGAAACUCCUGAUCCAGCCAUCUCGCGUGCGAUGAAGGCCUUCUGGUUGUAAAGCACUUUUUGGCAGGAAAGAAACGGCACGGGAUAAUACUCCCGCGCAACUGACGGUACCUGCAGAAUAAGCACCGGCUAACUACGUGCCAGCAGCCGCGGUAAUACGUAGGGUGCACAUGUUAAUCGGAAUUAUUGGGCGUAAAGCGUGCGCAGGCGGUUCGGAAAGAAAGAUGUGAAAUCCAGAGCUUAACUUUGGAACGCAUUUUUAACUACCGAGCUAGAGUGCAGGUCAGAGGAGGUGGAAUUCCGCAUGUAGCAGUGAAAUGCGUAGAUAUGCGGAGGAACACCGAUGGCGAAGGCAGCCUCUGGGAUAACACUGACGCUCAUGCACGAAAGCGUGGGGAGCAAACAGGAUUAGAUACCCCGGUAGUCCACGCUCCAAACGAUGUCAACUAGCUGUUGGGGCCUUCGGGCCUUGGUAGCGCAGCUAACGCGAAGUUGACCGCCUGGGGAGUACGGUCGCAAGAUUAAAACUCAAAGGAAUUGACGGGGACCCGCACAAGCGGUGGAUGAUGUGGAUUAAUUCGAUGCAACGCGAAAAACCUUACCUACCCUUGAUGUCUGGAAUCCCGAAGAGAUUUGGAGUGUCAUGCAGAGAACCGGAACACAGGUGCUGCAUGGCUGUCGUCAGCUCGUGUCGAGAUGUUGGUUAAGUCCUGCAACGAGCGCAACCCUUGUCAUUAGUUGGUUACGAAAGGGCACUCUAAUGAGACUGCCGGUGACAAACCGGAGGAAGGUGGGGAUGACGUCAAGUCCUCAUGGCCCCAGGGUAGGGCUUCACACGUCAUACAAUGGUCGGGACAGAGGGUCGCCAACCCGCGAGGGAGCCAAUCCCAGAAACCCGAUCGUAGUCCGGAUCGCAGUCUGCAACUCGACUGCGUGAAGUCGGAAUCGCUAGUAAUCGCGGAUCAGCAUGUCGCGGUGAAUACGUUCCCGGGUCUUGUACACACCGCCCGUCACACCAUGGGAGUGGGUUUUACCAGAAGUAGUUAGCCUAACCGUAAGGAGGGCGAUUACCACGGUAGGAUUCAUGACUGGGGUGAAGUCGUAA